AAAAGAUUCCUCCCUCUAAACUUUACUGCUGCAAUCUAAUCUAACAGUAUUCGUCGAGGCAGGCGCCUCAUCUGGAGUCGAGCAGUUCGCAGAGAUCCGCGUCUCUCACCCCGCUGAGGCCAUGAAGAGAAGGCUUCAGAAAAAAUACAUAAUCUUAAUUCUAGGAUAUUCAGUGUUGCUGCUUUUAAUUCCCUACGUACUAGAUUAUCGGAGCAAAUCGUCCUACAUUAAAGAUGGAUAUCAGCAACAAAAGUGUCCCGAUCUGGAGAGCACCAUCGCCCUGUGGACUAGCACCAGGACGGGCAACUCAACGGAGGUGGAGGACUAUGGCAACAGGAGUCAGUCCAGAACGCACAUAUACCUCCACGCAACCUGGAGGACAGGCUCUUCCUUUUUAGGGGAAUUAUUUAAUCAGCAUCCCGAUGUGUUUUAUUUAUACGAGCCCAUGUGGAAUAUGUGGCAGGCGCUUUAUCCGGGAGAUGCGGGCAGUUUACAAGGAGCAGUGAGAGACAUGAUGAACUCCCUGUUUAGAUGUGAUUUCUCAGUUUUAAAACUCUACGCAGGCUCGUCCAACGUAACCACCUCGUUUAUAUUCGGCUGGAAAACAAACAAGGUCAUUUGCUCCGAGCCUCUCUGCAAAGCGUAUAAGAAACACGAAAUUGGUUUAGUUCAAGGAGACGUGUGUAGCAAAUGCCGGUCCAGAGACCUCAAAGAGCUGGAGAAAGAGUGCAAAAAGUACCCGGUGAUGGUCAUCAAAGACGUGCGGGUUUUAGAUUUGGCGGUUCUGGUUCCCCUCAUGCGAGAUCCCGCCAUCAACCUCCAGAUAGUCCAGUUGUUUCGCGACCCCCGGGCCGUGCAUAAUUCUCGGAUGAAGUCUAAGCUAGCGUUGGUAAAGGAGAGCAUACAGGUGCUGAGGAGCAAGAAGCAGAGCGACAAAUACAAGCGCCUUCUGGUGCCUAGCAACAGGGUCCAUCGAGCCGAGAACUACGUCUCGAGCGCGAUGGAGUUAAUAUGCGAUAACUGGCUCAACGACAUGUUGCUCGUAAUGAACGCUCCGCCGUGGGUGAAGAGAAACUAUAUGCGGCUGAAAUACGAAAACCUGGUCCUCAGACCCGUGGACGAGCUCCAGAGGCUCUACCGUUUCUCCAACCUCACCCUUUCUCCGGCCAUGGAGAAGUUUGCGGUGAACAUGACCCACGGACGGGGCUAUUCGUCGGAUAAACCUUUCCUCAUAUCACCCAGAGAUGCCAAAGAGGCUAUUUACGCCUGGAGGGAAAGGCUGAAUGUGGAGCAGGUAAACCAGGUUGAAGCCUACUGCAGUGAGGUCAUGAGACAGCUGGGCUAUCAGAAGAUGAACAUGGACAAGACCUAAAACCACCAAACAUGAGUUUAUGAGUCAUGUGAUGAGGGGGCUGGUGUGACCUAACGGACCGACCACACGUGAUGGAAACAGGCUGAAAUAGGGACUGCUUUGUGCUGAAGCCUGAUGUGCUGGAGGAACAGGAGGACAGAGGGGGAACAGCCGGAUAUGAAGCUACACCAGAAGGUAUGACACACCAAUGGAGCUGAGGAGCAACACCCCGAGAUCUCCCUCACAGUGCCGUCAUGGGGCGCAGAGUAGACGACAGAAGAGAGACACUUACAAACCCAUCGACCUCAAAUAAUACUGACAAGAAUCCUGUAAGAAAAAGACUAACAAUAACAGAAAGGAAACACGUUCAGCAAGAGAGAAUGAAACAGCUACCAAAGGCUCAGUCCCGGCUGUGUCCUGACAGCCAGAUUUCAUCCUCAAUAAUCCCUGCCCAAUCCCCAGCAGCACAUAAUCAGACACACAAGACCGAGUCUUUACGUGCACUCGUGCUGUUGCACAUGCACUAGGCCUGGAGACUGACAUCCCAUUCAGUGUUCAGUUCGUUGGGAGGAUUUCAUAAUGAAAAUAUUCCU